UACGUAGGGUGCGAGCGUUGUCCGGAAUUAUUGGGCGUAAAGGGCUCGUAGGCGGUUUGUCGCGUCGGGAGUGAAAUCCACUGGCUUAACUGGUGGCUUGCUUUCGAUACGGGCAGACUGGAGGUAUGCAGGGGAGAACGGAAUUCCUGGUGUAGCGGGGAAAUGCGCAGAUAUCAGGAGGAACACCGGUGGCGAAGGCGGUUCUCUGGGCAUGUCCUGACGCUGAGGAGCGAAAGUGUGGGGAGCGAACAGG
rnacentral:rRNA from 1 species